rnacentral:rRNA from 1 species
UGGGGAAUAUUGCACAAUGGGCGCAAGCCUGAUGCAGCCAUGCCGCGUGUAUGAAGAAGGCCUUCGGGUUGUAAAGUACUUUCAGCGGGGAGGAAGGCGAUAAGGUUAAUAACCUUGUCGAUUGACGUUACCCGCAGAAGAAACACCGGCUAACUCCGUGCCAGCAGCCGCGGUAAUACGGAGGGUGCAAGCGUUAAUCGGAAUUACUGGGCGUAAAGCGCACGCAGGCGGUCUGUCAAGUCGGAUGUGAAAUCCCCGGGCUCAACCUGGGAACUGCAUUCGAAACUGGCAGGCUAGAGUCUUGUAGAGGGGGGUAGAAUUCCAGGUGUAGCGGUGAAAUGCGUAGAGAUCUGGAGGAAUACCGGUGGCGAAGGCGGCCCCCUGGACAAAGACUGACGCUCAGGUGCGAAAGCGUGGGGAGCAAACA